rnacentral:lncRNA from 1 species
CGUCUUCGUUGCUUUGCCGUUGUUCGGCGUUGCCGUCUUUUACCUUGCUGAAUCAAUUUUCUGUGUAAAUUGGAUAACUUUCCAUUGUGAAUUGAAUCAAUUGAUUUUCAGUUGGCCACUAAGAAAAACCUCCAUACAGACAAUGAUGGAAUUAUGUUUGGUUUGCAGAAGUUUCCAUUGGAUUGGAUACUGUUAAGCUCUCAAAAGGUCACAGUUUUGCUUUGAAUGUUUACCAAUAGCUCUCAAAAGAUUUUUCUGCUGAACUUUUAUUUUAGAUUUUGAUAUGGUG